rnacentral:rRNA from 1 species
GACGAACCGUGCGAACGUUGUUCGGAAUCACUGGGCUUAAAGGGCGCGUAGGCGGGCUGGUAAGUCAGGGGUGAAAGCCCACGGCCCAACCGUGGAAGUGCCUUUGAUACUGCCAGUCUCGAGGGAGGUAGGGGCGUGCGGAACUUCCGGUGGAGCGGUGAAAUGCGUAGAUAUCGGAAGGAACACCGGUGGCGAAAGCGGCGCGCUGGACCUCUUCUGACGCUGAGGCGCGAAAGCCAGGGGAGCAAACGGGAUUAGA